AGAGUAUUCCAGAAUAUAAAUAAUAACAAUUCUACAGAACUGAAAGUCAGUCGACGUGCACCAGAACUAGGCCAAGUAACCAGACUGGUUUGAACUACUUAUAAAAAAAUCAAACCUUUCGACAGCAAGUACAAUUUGAGGCCCCACAGACACUCAAAAAAUACAGUUACAUAUUUCUGUAAGAUAAAUCCUUAAAUAAUUUCUCCUUUGGGGACCUUCUCCACUAAAAAAAUGGAAAAACAAAUUAUAAUCUUGUUCAUGAUCCUGGGAAUUUUCCAUAUCGGGUCUGAUGCCGCAUGCGACUCGGGUUUAUGUGACCAACUUUGCGAAAAUUUUAAACUAAACGGCGCCUGCGAUUCGGAGGGACGAUGCGAGUGUACCUUCCCCCAAAAAUGUAGCGGAAUGGAGGUGGCGUGUGACGUGGCGUGCAAAGCUUUGGAUAUGGACGGUGAAUGUGAUGACAAUGAUAAUUGCGUGUGCAAAGCAACUCCGGAAUUCUGUAACCCAUUAGACUGCUAUGAAUCCUGCCUAUCUGAUCCAAGGGCAAUUGGGUGCAUCUUAGUGGUCCCAGAUUGGUGCGUAUCGUAUGGACCGUUCAAAUUCUGUGGUUGUAUUUGCUACAGGUAUGGACGGGGAGGGUAUCUUGGGCAGAAUUAUAAUGUCACAAAAUUUGUCAACGAUAUUUAAUUUGGGAUUUGUCAUGUCAUUGCAUAUUUGCUAUUAGAAUUAUUUCAAACAAAAUUAAUUAUAAGUAUAAUCAGGCUAUAAAUAAAUAUUUGUCUACUUUAACUUUAAUUUCAUGACCGUAUGUGUAAUUUUAUGUUGAAUGUGGUAAAAUACAUGAUUUCCAAAUUCAAUAUACACCAAUAAACUGACUGACUAGGUGUACUUUUUCA